rnacentral:rRNA from 1 species
UCUACGGGUGGCAGCAGUGAGGAAUAUUGGUCAAUGGACGAGAGUCUGAACCAGCCAAGUAGCGUGAAGGAUGACUGCCCUAUGGGUUAUAAACUUCUUUUAUAAAGGAAUAAAACGAGGCACGUGUGCCUUUUUGCAUGUACUUUAUGAAUAAUGAUCGGCUAACGCCGUGCCAGCAGACGCGGUAAUACGGGGGAUCCAAGCGUUAUCCGGAUUUAUUGGGUUUAAAGGUAGCGUAGAUUGGUUGUUAAGUCAGUUGUGAAAGUUUGCGGCUCAACCGUAAAAUUGCAAUUGAUACUGGCAGUCUUUAGGACAUUUGAGGUAUGCGGAAUUCGUGGUGUAGCGGUGAAAUGCGU